rnacentral:lncRNA from 1 species
CAGUCGUUACCUAAGUUCACUUAUGAUCCCAGCAGUACAACGGCGAAAGGUACACCGUUCACGGCGGAGUGUGCCAUUUGUCUGGCGGAGUAUGCGGUGGGAGAUGAGAUCCGUGUGCUACCGCAGUGUGGCCAUAGUUUUCACCUUCAGUGUAUUGAUACUUGGUUGGGUUCACACUCUUCGUGCCCUUCUUGUCGUCAAAUUCUCGUGGUUGCUCGGUGCCGGAAGUGCGGCGAGUUCCCUGCAGUUUCCCAUAAAACCGACGGUGCUCCGGCUACAACUCCGGCAGAGUCUCGUUCAUGCGCUAGAUCAAGUAAUUUUCUAGUCUAGAAAAAGAAAAAAAGACUUAGCUUUAAAUGAUCAAUCUAGUUUACAUUAUCAGUGCAGUUUUACCAGUUGUAAUCCGUCGCUUAUUGUGUUAUGCAAGUUAGGUUACUAAUCUACGGAUUACUGUAGACAGUUACUUGUAAUUAUUUAUGUAAAAUUAUUUUUACAGAUUUAGUAUAUGUUGAAGUUAAAAUUGAUGAAGUAGAAUAUAAAAUAGGAUGGUGAAAUGUUUUCUUGUGUUAUUCUAGGGGAAAUUCUUAUAGUGAAAUCUUCUCAGAUCAUUUAAGCUGUUGGAACAAAGCUUCAGGCUGUUGUGACUAGGAUGGCCAUUGACAUUACAGAGAGACACGCUGUAGUUCAAGGAAUCCCUCUUGUUCAAGGCUCGGACAAAUAUUUUUGGUUAUUGGUCGACCGCAACUGGUGCUUCACCUCAUCCAUUUUGCCUUAUUUCAGGUUUGCAUUUCAAUACAAUUUUUAAAAAGUAAUGUUUGUAAACCAGAGGAUGGGCAUAUCAUUUGGUUUCAACUUUGCAAGUACAAAGUUGCCUUAAUACAUAAUGUUGCUUUAAGUAACUCAGGCCUAGAGGGGCAUUUGAUAAUUGAAAGACAGGACAUUAUAAGUUCAUACCAUAUGCUGUUAACUUAGAUAAAGCAUUGGCCAUUAAUUUUAAUGUUUGCAGAUGGGAUCCAAUAUGAAAAACUCAAAUCUUUGAUGAGCAAACUUCAAAAGAAGUGGCAUAUGGUUGUGAAGAAGAGGAAGGGAGCAAGGGGCUACGCGGACACUAGGUUGUGCAAGUCCAAGGUCCACAAUGAGCUCACCUGUACACCCGGCAGGCCCUGCUCUUCAUCGAUUCAAAACUACCGGUCACUCCUCACGUUUCCAGGGCUACAACAGCGAUCAAGAAGCAUCCAACCUUGAAAAUGAUCCAACAACACUGAUGAAUCGUGCAGACAUUGCAACUACACAGAUUUAUCAUGAUGACACAGAAAUACAUGUGCAUGUUCCUCCAAAUGGAGAAUCUACUAGGAAUGAAGAUGACUUCUCAUUUGUAAAGCCUGCUCCCCAAAGGUGAAAAAGAAGUAGGUAACCAAUUAGCUUUGUGCCCUUUUUUCUCCUUUUGCUCUUCCCCCUUUUGCCUAGUUAUAUCAAUGUGCUUAUACUUUUAGGACUAUCAUAUAAGCAGUUUGGCAGUUCCUCGGCACAUAUAGGUGAAUUCCUUGUAUAUUUUCACAUGAAAUUGCCAAGCAAUGAUCUCCAAUGCACUAUAUAAUUGCUUGCCUUUGUUAGAUUUUUUUUUUUCGUGAUGAUUACAAAUUUAAUUAAGUUAAAACUUAAAAAGAAUGUCUAGGUAGGUAAACUUUAUAUAGCCUUGUUUCUUCCACCUCAAUAGCUAGCUUUUGGGGUGUGGUUCUCCCUAGGUUGUAUCAACGGUAUCAGAGCCACCCACCACCCUUUGUGCCCAUCAUGCCUUGGAUUGUGACGCCCAAAUUGCACGUUCGCACAACCGUCGAGUGAUGCCGGUAUUGCAGCGUUCGCACAGUCGUCGAGAACGACGGAUACGAAGCUUGGUGAUUUAUUAUGGUAUAUUGGAAGGAAUGGGACUUGAGUCCCGCACCGGUAUUACAAAGUGCUGAUGUGGGGUUUAUAUAGCCUUGGGCUAUCCCAUCUCAAUAGCUAGCCUUUUGGGUGUCAUACUAUAUUAUAUGUGUGAAGACUUUUAGGUAAAGUUGUUUUACUAAAAUGCCUAUAAAAACUGAAUGACUAUUUUACCCCUCAUUUAAAUACAAUUUCUUUAUUAUUUUUGUACCAAAAACCUACCUUCCAAUAAAUGAUAAAUUAAGUUGUAAAACAAUGAAUGAGGUAAAUGAGUAUAGAAAAGAGGUGGAAUAAUUUUCUUACAAUAGUCACUUAGCAGCCUAUUCAAUGCCUUAGAAUUGCUUUUCAUCAUCCAGAUACCUAUUCAAUGUUUGGAAGUUCUUUUCAACUUCCACAAGUAAAUUUUUAAUAAUUUUUUUGGUGAAGAAUUUUUUUUAUUUCAUCACCUCGAAACUAUCACAAGCUUUUUCCUCAGUACUUUCCUCUUUUCUCCUAUUUCUUUCUAUAUACAUAUACAUUAGCUAUGUAUUCCUUGUCAUCAAAACGUUAUUAUUUCUAUCUAUCUAAUCUUUUAUUUCUGCAUUAUCUUCUCAAUCCAUUCUCUUUCUUGAACACUUGUCUUGCUCUUCAAAUAGGUGAGCUUCCUCAGUCUGCAUUAUUGUUUAAUCUGACUUAGUAUGUAGGUAGCCGUGGGUAGUUUGAAGUCCCAUACAGCAGUGUUCCUAGCCUUCCAUAUCCAAUACACCAAGGCAGCCAAUAUAGCAGUAGCAACUUCCCUGCAUCUCUUUCCUUUGAGUAGCCUGGUCACUCUUUUCCAUAUCUCUGUUAUCUCUGUCUUUUGUAUACCUAUGCUCAUCCAGUUUAACACCUCCCUUAAGCACUGCUGUGAGUAUACACAUUCAAAGAACAAAUGUUGGAUUACAGAUUCAAAAUAUUGAACCAUUGACGUUCUCUUCUUCUUCUUCUUCUUAUAUUCAAUGCGAUGCUCAAUUAUGCGUCCGUGUCAUGAAUUUUAUUGAUUUUGCUUAUGCAUCAACUCUUUUAACCAUCUAAGUAAGCAAUUAUUUUUGCCAUAGUUUAAGUUUUGCAACUCUUGCAACACAUAGGCCUGCUCCAAAAUGAUGUGUUAACAACUAUUUUUUCUUGACAAUCUAGAUCUGGCACAUGAAAAUUGAAAUGAUGUAUAUUUAUUGCUUUUUUAGAUUUUGUUGGAAAAAGUACUACACUACUACUUCCUUUUUUUUUUUGUGUGUAUACAUUUGUUUUUAUUUCUCUAGUGGUUUUAUUUCUAGGAAGAUUUUUUAAAAAUUAUAAUUUUCUGAGGUGGCUAUUUCUGCUUCGUAUUUAUUAAAUUAUCUUUAGAUAUUCUAAAAUAACAUAAGCAUCAAUAUAUAAUUAUUUAUAAAUUUUGUGAAAAUAGUAUUCGAAUCUAUUUUGGAAAUUAUAGUCUUUUAUAUAUGUUAAAGGAAAAUAUAAAUUGUUGUAGUGAUUUGGUAAUGAUAACCUGUGCAAAUGCUUAAUGUGUUUAACAUUUGAAUAAUUUUAAUUUGUAUUUAAUUUUAUCUUUCUAUAUUAUACAAAUUUAGGUGGGCUAGUCAAUUCCAUUUGACAACCGUAAUAUAGUAGAACUACUAGGUGGCUGAAGAACUAAGGGCUAGAGCUCUUCAAUCAGGGUUGUCAUGCUUGGUCGUUUUAGUUGAAAAAAUAAGGUUGCAAGAAUUCAAUCAAGAACAUUGUUUCAAAUAAAGUAUUAGGUGUGAGAUACGAGUGUAUUACAUGUUUGGACCUAACAACAUCAAAAUUAAUUUCAUUACACAUUGUCACACUGAAUUUACCAGCAUCAACUCCACAUGUUUAGAAGAUGUCAAAUAUUGUUGCAUUAAAAUUUCGUAUUACUCAUCACACUCGUGUAUAGUUUAAUACCAUAAAAUUAUUUUUAAAAGUUUUUAUUAAUUGACAUGGGAUACACGUGCAACACACGUGUUGUAUCAAAUACUUGUCGGAUAGUCAAAGUACACAUGAACUGGACCGUUUAUCACUGUUAGAAAAAAAGAAAAAGAAAAAUCUCCUAUGUCACAUGCAAACGGUCUUUCGACUUUCAAACAAAGGAGAAAAAGCAAGGAAUUGAGUUCAAUCAAUCAUUUUAAGCAUUCCCCACCUUUAAUUUUGUUUUUCUCUCUUUAUAGUGUUGCUAACAUGCCUUGCACAAAGAAUGACAAGCAUAUGAUGUUUUAGCAAUAGAGAAGCAAAUCACAUGGAGCACUAAUUCAAAUCAAUAUAAUAUUUAUCAUUAUAAUAUGAUAUCAGAGUUGAACUCAUCCAUGUCCUACAUUCGUUUGUAACUUAUUCAAAAAAAAAAAAGCAAAUGAAGAACAAAACAAGUGGGACAUAGGCCGAUUAGGAGUGUUCAAACCGAACCGGAAAACCGCACCAAACCGAAAAAUCAAACCAAAUCGAUUAAAAAACCCGACUAGGUUUAAUUUGACUUGAUUUGGUAUUGAGUAAAAAAACUCGAACCAAACCGACAGAUAAAUAUAUAAAUUUUAUUUAUAUUUUUAAGACUUUAUAGUAAAUUUUCUUUAGAAAAUGUAGAAAUAUUUGGGAUCCUCUCAUGUAUUAACUUUGAAUGCGUAAAUUAACGAAAAAUUAUUGUUAGACGACUAAGAAAAUAACUAUCAUGUGUUACUAAAAAAAUUCUCCCAUUAAAAUAUUUUAAUAGAUCAUACGUUUUAUCAUUUUUUUUCCAUAUUUACUAAACAUAUAUUCACUUAUCAAAGCUUUAUNNNNNNNNNNNNNNNNNNNNNNNNNUCUAACAACAAUAUUCUUAUCCAUUCACCAAUGGGGGCCUCCCCAAUUUCAUCCGCUUGAAUAAAUAUCAGAUUGAAGUAACUAUUUGUUUGUAUUUUCAUCUCAUGAAAAAUAAGGGAGGCAAGAAGUCAUGUCAGGAAUCCUUUUAAAGUUAAAAGAGAAGAAUCUUUUCUUUUACUUUAACGGCUGUUCUCACUCUAAUGUAGAUUAGAAAAAAUUAUCGCUAACAUAAUCAUAUAUAACAUGUCGAAUCCAACUUUUAAUUAUUGGAGACGAAACAAAAAUAGAUUGUCAAUUACAGCUAACAAAGUACGGACAUGCUACUUGUUCUUGGAUAAAUAGUAAACUUUUUCUUUUGUCACGCAAAAUCAAUGUACAAAAGAACAUCAUGUUACCCAUCUCAUCCUCAAACAAAACUUUCUAAUGUUACUUUGUCUUUCAUAAAAAGGAAGAAAAAGCAAAAAAGUAAUAAUAUUACACUUUAGCAUCCCAGUCCCCACUCGAUAUCCACUAUUAUAAUAGUAACAUUUUUUUCACUUCGACGGGGUCCUAUAUUUCGAGACCUCAUUAAUUAUAAGAUUAAAGAUCAUUUACUAAUUUGAGUUUAUUGUUUAACAUAAAAUAAAUAAUCAGUAUUAAGAGUUCACAUUAUAUAGACCAAUAAAAUAAAUUAAAAUCAAAAUCAGGGAGGAGACUAUUUUGGAAUCCGAAGAACACCAAAACUUUUGGAAAUUUCUUCAUUUUUUCCAUGGACAGAACUCUAAUGGCAAUGGCGGUUUUGUAGAGAACGAUGGUCGCCCUCAGUUUGAACAAUUUGUUACACAGUUCCCUUUCCUUUUUGGUUUUGGACAAGAGUUUUGAUAGACUUGUAUACAAACAAAAUCAGGUAAGCUCACAUGCCUUUGCUUCUUUGUUCCUUGAUUUAACCUUAUCCAUUUUUAAAGUAAUUAAAAAAGGACCCUAAUCAAUCUUGAACCCCACAUGAUUAUACUUGUUUAUGGCAUUUCUGUCCGUACUAAUUUGCAUACUUGUCAAUUAUUUUAUCGAAUAUUAAUUACCUUUAAUAAAAUAGAGUCUUGGCGUAAUUGAUAAAGUUGUUGUCAUGUGAUCACGAGGUCACGAGUUCAAGCCGUUGAAACAACUUUUUGUAGAAAUACAGGUUAAGAAAGCGUAGAAUAGACUCUUAUGGUCCGGCCCUUCCUCGGACUCCGCCCCUAGCGGGAGCUAAGUGCGCCGGGCUACCAUUUUUUUAAUUUAUUAAUUACCUCUCUUAAUCAUUUAAUAAAAAACGAAACGUGUCUGCUUGUAAUAGCCAAUAGUAGGAGUGACAAACAUGCGGGUCGGAUCGGAUAUGGUUCGGAUCGAAAACGGAUAAUGAAAAAAUGGAUCAAUUAUCUGAUCCGACCCAUAUUUAAUACGCAUAAAAAACGGGUUAACCGGCGGAUAAUAUGGUUAAUCAUAUUAUCCAUGACUUCUUGCAUAUGAUCACUUUUGGGAGAAUUUUUAGUCUCCAUAAUUUGAGGAACCUCCAAUUUGAGGCUUUACAAAUAUAAAAGCUAGACCUAUUGGUUACGUAAAAAUUGCAUGGGGGCGCCCCUUUUUAACCUAUAGCCACUUUGUUUUUCUGUUUGCACCCGUACCCGUUUUUUGUUAAAAGCCUUUUGAAAACACUAUUUUGCCCUUCUUUAUUAAAAGACUACUUUCUCUCCAAGUAUACGCUACUCCUCUACUCUCUCUCUCCCGUUAUUCGCGCGUUUUGAUGUGUUCUUCUCUAAAAUCAAACGGUUUUUGAUUUUUCAACUGUUUGUUCCUCAAUAACAUUACGAUUUAAUCACAUGUACAUUGCAUUAACUUCCUGGGUUUUAUUUUAGUAUUAAUUUUUACGAUUUAAUUUCUGGUUUUGGUUUUGAUAGUCAUGUAUUUAUGAUAAAAUAGUUUCUUAGGGUUUAGUUUGAUAAGUGCAUUAGUUUUACUUUUACGAUUAUGUUUUUAGGUUCUUUGAACGUGUGUUUGUGUUGUUGAUAAAAAUUCUAUAAAUUCUUCAGUGAUUUUUGGAGACGUCGAAAUUUUUAAAAUUUUUGAGAGUUAAAUAGAUGAUACUAUUAAAGUGUGAAGUUUAUAAUACUUCAAUGAUACCUUAGAUAGGAGCUGAAGAUUUGUUUCAUGUUUUGUGUUUUUUUUUUUGUUAUAUUUUUUAUGAAUUUCAGCAUUAUUUUUGGAUUUGAAUUUGUGUUUUUGUUUUUUGUAAAAACUACAGCAUGUUUUUUGCUAAUGUUUUGUAACUGGUGAACUUCAGCUUUAGCAGCUGAAGUUUUUGUUUUUGUAACUGGUGAAGUUCAGCUCUAGGAGCUGAAGUUUUUGUUUGUAACUGGCGAACUUCAGCUCUAGAGCUGAAGUUUUUGUUUGUAACUCGCGAACUUUAGCCUUCUUAGAGUUGAAGUUUUAACUGAUUUUUUGAUAAUGUCCUGAUGUUAUUUUUUGUAUCUUUUACUUUUUUUGAACAGAUGACACCUAAAGAUCCUAAAGUAGCUAAAGCACGUAAAGCAGCUAAUGCACCUAAAGCACCUAAACAACCUAUAAUACCCCCAGGUCCUUUCGUCCCUGCUGCUCCACUUACAAAACCAGGGCAAAUAUAUUUUGAUUUUUGAGAUUGGUUUAACUGUAAGGGUUACUGGAAGAGGAACCACGAUUUGAAGAGUUUAAUUGCAAGUUUCUUGACUCAUGUACAACGGGAUAAGCUUAAUAAUGGUACAUUUCGAUAUAUUAUGGCUAUGGAGAAUUUCAAAUGCAGCAUGAAGUUGGUUCAUUGUUUGUGUCUUUCUCGAAUAUUCACUAAUGAUCGAGACUCCAUUAGUUUCAAGAUUUUUGGUCAUGAUGUUUCCUUCACCCUUGAAGAUUUUCACAUUAUGUGCGGUUUGCGGAUCACAGCACAUAAUGUUGAAAAACUAAUUAAUCGAGAGAGCAAUAUUCUGAAGCGCUAUUUUGGUAAGUCUAAGGGUGUGACCUUUGAAGGAUAUUCGAGAUUUUAUGACUCAGAAUGAAAUUCCAAAGAAUGUUGUGAAUCACAGUCACGUAUGCGAGAGUGAUGCUGAUGAUGUGAAGCUUAUGGAAAUUCUUGUUGUAGAGUCUAUUUUGUUUGGGAAAAAGACUGAAUCAUCUGUGCUGGAGGAAUAUGCAGCUAUUGUUGAAGAUGAUAAGAUUUGUGCUGAAUAUCCUUGGGGUAAUGUGUAUUAUGAGAAGCUCAUUUACUCACUAAAAUAUGCAUUGGACAAGCAGAACAAAUAUCAUUCAACUGAGUAUAAAGUUGGUGGAUUUCCAUAUCCGUUAUGUGCUUGGUUCUAUGAGCGCUUCCCAGUGAGGAUGAGUACCUUGAUACCCUGUUCGCAAGAUGUUACGUUAUGUAUAUGUGGGAGAUCCUAAAUAUAAUGAACUUUUUGAUUUCUUCAAUAAUCAUGAUGUAAGUUAUUUUUUUUAUUUUUGUCUUUGUCUUAAUAUGUUGACGUAUUAGUUUUUUUCCCCUCAUAAUUUUUUUUUGUAUUAAACCGAGAUAUCGCAACUUUAAGGUGUUGGAUAUAAUUCCUACAGAAGAGGAAUUGAAUUUAAUGCUUUUAAUUGGACAAUUACCAUGUAGCCGGAUUCGUUCAAAGGUAUUUAAUGCGGUUCCUUCAACUGGUGGUUUUUAGUAUUAUGAAGUUUUUUUAAAAAAUCAUAAUAAAAUACAGAGUGCAGGAGGAAAAUACUUCAGCUCCCUUUGCUGAAGUUUUCAAGAAUGAACUAAAAAAAAUCAACAUUUUAUGCUGAAGUUUUUGUGCAAUUUGUAAUUUUAAUUUAUGUUUUAUUUUAUUUAAUGAAAAAUGAUGUUUUUGUAUUAAUGUUUUUGUGCGUUUUUUAAUAUUAAUCCUUUUUAAACUUAGAAAAUAACAGAGGAAUUAACAAAAACUUAUCCGAAAGUUUCAUAUUGCAGGACAAAAUAUUAAACAUUUUUUAGUAGAUGAACUAAAAAAACUUCAGCAUACUAAAAAUUAUAUGAAAAAUGUUUUACAUAUUCUGGAAAACUUAAGCAUUUUUUGGUAUGAAGUUUUUCCAAAAAAUCAUAAUAAAAUACAUAGUGCAGGAGGAAAACUUCAGCUCGUUUUGCUAAAUAUUCAAGAAUGAACAAAAAACUUCAGCUCGUUUGCUGAAGUUUUUAAAGAUGAACUAAAAAACUUCAGUACUUUAUGCUGAAGUUUUUGUGCAAUAUGUAAUUUUAAUUUAUGUUUUAUUUUUUACCCAGUGUAGGAGGAAAACUUCAACUCAUUUUGCUGAAGCUUAUAAAGAUGAACUAAAAAACUUCAGCAUGUCAAUAUAAAAUUAUAAUUAUGUUUUUACUUUUUACCCAGUGUGGGAGGAAAACUUCAGCUCGUUUUGCUGAAGGUUUUAAAGAUUAACUAAAAAACUUCAGCACCUAUGCUGAAGUUUUUGUGCAAUAUGUAAUUUUAAUUUAUGUUUUUUUUUUUUUACCCAGUGUAAGAGAAAAACUUCGGCUCGUUUUCCUGAAGUUUUUAAAGAUGAACUUUUGUUCAAUAUUAAAUAAUAAUUUAUGUAAUAUUUUUUACCCAGUGUAGGAGGAAAACUUCAGUUCGUUUUGCUGAAGUUUUAAAAGAUUAAUUAAAUAACUUCAGCUUGUUUAGCAAAUAAACAAGACAUAUACUUCAGCACAUGUAAAAACUCAGCUUGUUUAGCAAAUAAACCAAAAAUUUCAGCAUAUUAUGCAGUGGAAAACUUCAGCAUAUUUGAAUUUGUCGGAUUAGAAUGUUAGAAUUCAACGUGAAAUAGAUUUAGAAUACAAAUUCAGCAUAUCAGUGAAGAGUUCAUGUUUCAUCCGUCAAACAACUUCAAUCAAUCAAUCAGUUUCAAAAACUAUUUUAAAUUCUGAAGAUGAAUUUGAAUACUAUUUUGUAAUUUUAAAUUUGGAAUUUGAUUCUAGUUCAAAUCUGGUUUGCGAGAGGCGAUCUGAGGAGAGAUGGAGUGAUGGAGGAGAGACGGAGGCGAUCUGGAAUUUGAAUCUGGUGUGCGCGAUGCAUCUUUUAUAUGUUUUGGAAGGGGUAUAAUGGUCAUAUUAUUACGAAUUUUUUGUUAGUUAGUUACGAAAUUAAUAAUUUUUAAAAAUAGGGUAUAACUUAAAAGGUGACAUAAAUAUAGGGUAUGGCUGCAAAUCGUCCAUUGGUUACCCAUUGAUUAUCUAUUUUUUAAAUGAAUGAUAUGAUUCUAUCCAUAUUUGAUUCGUUUUUAAAAAUUCAUUAUUUAAUCAAUUUUUUAAUGAAUAAUAUGAGUGAUUAACUCUUUUCUUUUAACCAUUUUGCCACCCAAUAAGUAGUAUUUGUAGUGAAGAAUAGUAGGGAUCUGUUCUCUGCUCCACAUGUGUAGUCUUCAAUACCUUCCAUUCAACACUCCCCUCAGAUUUUAUAUCUAUAUAUAUCUUACGGACUUUGAGACGUUUUCAUAUGUUUUUAUCACUGCUGUUAAGUUCACAUCAAUUACCGACAUUUCAACCACAUCUUUUACAUCCAUUGUCCCCAGUUGUUCUUCUAUAUUAUAGUACUUAGUACUCAUAUUAUUGUUGUUGAAUUUCUUUUCAAUUAUGACUCGUCCAGCUAGAUUUCUGCUAAGCACAAACUCUUCUUCAACUUCCCCUUCAACGCCGGCGGCGGAGCCACCAUCUACGGUGGCAGUGGAGUCGGACUUUGUCGUAAUAUUAGCUGCUUUGCUUUGUGCAUUAAUUUGUGUGGUGGGGCUCAUCGCUGUUGCAAGAUGCGCGUGGCUCCGGCGAGCAACCGGCGCCGGAGGCGGCGGAGCUGGUGGUCAGUCUUCGGCGGCGGCGAAUAAAGGGUUGAAGAAGAAAGUGUUGCAGUCGUUGCCUAAGUUCACUUAUGACCCCAGCAGUACAACGGCGAAAGGUACGCCGUUCACGACGGAGUGUGCCAUUUGUCUGGCGGAGUAUGCGGUGGGGGAUGAGAUCCGUGUGUUGCCGCAGUGUGGCCAUAGUUUUCACCUUCAGUGUAUUGAUACUUGGUUGGGUUCACACUCUUCGUGCCCUUCUUGUCGUCAAAUUCUCGUA